CAGUAGCCGCGGUAAUACGUAGGGUGCGAGCGUUAAUCGGAAUUACUGGGCGUAAAGCGUGCGCAGGCGGUUGUGUAAGACAGGUGUGAAAUCCCCGGGCUUAACCUGGGAACUGCGCUUGUGACUGCACAACUAGAGUAUGGCAGAGUGGGGUGGAAUUCCACGUGUAGCAGUGAAAUGCGUAGAGAUGUGGAGGAACACCGAUGGCGAAGGCAGCCCCCUGGGCCAAUACUGACGCUCAUGCACGAAAGCGUGGGGAGCAAACAGGAUUAGAUACCCGAGUAGUCCCUGUCUCUUAUAC
rnacentral:rRNA from 1 species